UACAGAGGUGGCAAGCGUUGUUCGGCAUUACAGGGCGUAAAGGGCGCGUGGGCGGCCUGUUAAGUCCCGUGUGAAAUCCCGCGGCUCAACCGAGGAACUGCACGGGAAACUGGCGGGCUUGAGUUCGGGAGAGGGAAGCGGAAGUCCGGGUGUAGCGUUGAAAUGGGUAGAUAACCGGAGGAACACCGGUGGCGAAGUGGGCUUCCUGGACCGUCACUGAAGCUGAGGCGCGAAAGCGUGUGGAGCAAAUAGG
rnacentral:rRNA from 1 species